UACGUAGGGGGCAAGCGUUGUCCGGAUUUAUUGGGCGUAAAGCGCGUGUAGGCGGCCAGGUAGGUCGGUUGUGAAAAUUGGAGGCUCAACCUCCAGACGUCGAUCGAAACCAUCUGGCUAGAGUCCGGAAGAGGAGAAUGGAAUUCCUGGUGUAGCGGUGAAAUGCGCAGAUAUCAGGAAGAACACCAAUGGCGAAAGCGCUCUCUGGACGGUG
rnacentral:rRNA from 1 species